ensembl:lncRNA ARLNC1 androgen receptor regulated long noncoding RNA 1
CAGUUUACAUGUGUCCUUAAAGCUGAAGUUUUCAGGUGCUGGUUCCAUGGCUCUUCCUGAGCCGAAAAUAAGGAAACUCCAUAGACCUUGUCCACUGGAACUCGUUCCCAUCUACCCUCCACUCUAUCCAGGGUGAUGGAUCUCUGCAGUAAGUGGAAGAGUUCUUCAUGGCCCCCAAGGUUAUAUCCAUCUAGAACUUCAGCACGUAAUUUCAUCUGGAAAUAGUGCCUUUGCGGAUAUAAGUUAGGUAAAACUGAAGAUGAGAUCAUACUGGAUUAGGAUGGGAUCUAAAUCCAAUGAAAAUGUCUUCAUAAAAAACAGGAAAGAACCCAUAGAAACACAAGGAAGAAGGUCAUGUGAAGAUGGAGGCAGAGAUUGGAGGGAUGCAGCCACCGGCCCAGGAAUGCCAGCAGCCACCCAGAAGCUGGAAGGAAAUGAGGGAUUCUCUCCUAGAACCUUUAGAGAGAACAUGGUCCUGUGAACAGCUUGAUUUUGGACUUGCCCAUAGCUUGUAUACUCUUACUUUGGAUACAAUUUUAUCCAAACUUGGCUAAACAGUUUCUCAGCCUAUGGAAAAUUUAAAAUGGAGAAGAUUCAACUCGAUUCUUACAGAUUCAAAGCAAGAAAAUGAUGGGAACAUAGGAGGAGACCAAGAAAGCCUAUAAAAAGCAAAAAUAUGAAGUGAACAUUGUGGUAGCUUUAAGAUGUUUAGUGUAGCUGCAGGCACCCUAUACACAUGAAAACCCCCAAGGGGAAUCCCCAUAUCACAGUGUAGUGUGAUAUUUGACAUUCGUGAUCAUCUAGAGAUGUACAGAAAAGGUGAAUCUGUGUUCUGUAUAUUCUGCCUAAGGCAAAGAAAUGUUUAGCUCUCUUUAAAAUAGUUCCAUAAUUUUUUCUAAAAAGCUUUGCUUGAAAACUGUAAGCUUCCCAUAUCUGGAGCAUUUCACUUUAAAUAUUUGGAUAAAUAUGUUAUCUUCUUACUUGGACAUUUCAUGUGUUUAGGGAUUGUCUUCUAAAUUCUUCCUAAUUCAUAUAGCUGCUAACACUUCCCGCAGAGCUAAACCAUUACAGAUAUGAAAUAAAGACCUAUUGAUUUGA